rnacentral:tRNA from 1 species
UGGGGAAUCGUCUAAUGGUAGGACACCGGACUCUGACUCCGUUUGUCUAGGUUCGAAUCCUAGUUCCCCAA